rnacentral:rRNA from 1 species
AUGGCUUCUACGUGCCAUUCCUCCGCCUCUACCUCGCCGGCUCUCGCAGCCUCGGUCGCCGUCGCGUUCGCCACUGACCAGAGGAACGACACCUGCGGUGCCGGGGGACCCUUCUUCACUGCGCCGGCGCAGGACCUCCAUGCCUCGGCCUGCCUGGAGGACCUCCGCCCCGGUGACCUCUUCGAGAUCCAGUGGCGGAAGAACAAGGAUUUCCCCUACGACUGGUGGUACAGCGUCGUGGGUCACCUGGAGCCGUGCAACGCGAACGAGCAUCUCUGCCGCUGCCAUGAAGACGAUACAAUCAUGUUGGAGUUCAAGCACUACGCGGCUGGGUCGAGGUGGAGGCAAACCACGGUGAGCAGGAAAGACCACCGGGAGAAAGGGGACGAGACGGACGGCUUCUACGGCGGCAUCAGGAAGCUGCAGACCAAAGAUGAGAUCUCCACGUGGCGGCGAUUCUGGCCGGUUGAUGUGCUCAGCUGA